AGCGAACGCUGGCGGCAGGCCUAACACAUGCAAGUCGAACGAACUCUUCGGAGUUAGUGGCGGACGGGUGAGUAACACGUGGGAACGUGCCUUUAGGUUCGGAAUAACUCAGGGAAACUUGAGCUAAUACCGGAUGUGCCCUUCGGGGGAAAGAUUUAUCGCCUUUAGAGCGGCCCGCGUCUGAUUAGCUAGUUGGUGAGGUAAAGGCUCACCAAGGCGACGAUCAGUAGCUGGUCUGAGAGGAUGAUCAGCCACAUUGGGACUGAGACACGGCCCAAACUCCUACGGGAGGCAGCAGUGGGGAAUCUUGCGCAAUGGGCGAAAGCCUGACGCAGCCAUGCCGCGUGAAUGAUGAAGGUCUUAGGAUUGUAAAAUUCUUUCACCGGGGACGAUAAUGACGGUACCCGGAUAAGAAGCCCCGGCUAACUUCGUG
rnacentral:rRNA from 1 species